rnacentral:rRNA from 1 species
AUUGAACGCUGGCGGCAUGCUUUACACAUGCAAGUCGAACGGUAACAGGCCUUCGGGUGCUGACGAGUGGCGAACGGGUGUGUAAUGCAUCGGAACGUACCCAGAGGUGGGGGAUAACGCAGCGAAAGCUGUGCUAAUACCGCAUGUGAUCUGAGGAUGAAAGCGGGGGACCGAGCAGCAAUGUUUGGCCUCGCGCCUUUGGAGCGGCCGAUGUCGGAUUAGCUAGUUGGUGGGGUAAAGGCCUACCAAGGCGACGAUCCGUAGCUGGUCUGAGAGGACGACCAGGCACACUGGGACUGAGACACGGCCCAGACUCCUACGGGAGGCAGGAGUGGGGAAUUUUGGACAAUGGGCGCAAGCCUGAUCCAGCAAUGCCGCGUGCGGGAAGAAGGCCUUCGGGUUGUAAACCGCUUGUGGCAGGAACGAAACGGUGUCCGCUAAUACCGGGCGCUAAUGACGGUACCUGCAGAAUAAGCACCGGCUAACUACGUG